rnacentral:lncRNA from 1 species
GGACUAAGCCAUCAACUUUCUUGAUAUUUCAAGGUUCAUGUCUAGCAAUCCUUUCUUUGUUCUUGAUUAUGCUAAAUUAGAGACUUGUGAUGGCUAAAGAGAUGGUUUGAUGGAUUAUAUUUUGAGUUGUGGUUGAAUGGAUGAACUUUUAUUAUUUUUGGGGAUUUUUCUGUUUUACUAUGAACAUGAUUGUGUGGCUAUAUAUGAUGAUUGGAAAUGGUAUAUAAUGAUUCUAGAAGGUGGAAAAAGUGGAAGAUUGCAAGUAAUUUCUGUUUUGGAAGAAAUUUCAGAAAAUUAGGUUUUGUGAAGGAACAUUCUGU